rnacentral:rRNA from 1 species
CAAAAGCAGAACGACCAGAGAA